AGCGCUUCUCGGCCUUAUGGUUAAGAUCAAAGUGUAGUAUCUGUUCUUAACAGCUUAACAUCUGAAGUCAAUUAAUUCAUAUAAAAUAUAGAUAGGAAAUUCGUAUUCAUAUGAGAAUACGUACGAGUACCUAUAUACCAGAAUCCAUAUGCAAAUUUGUAUACUAC